rnacentral:rRNA from 1 species
AAGAAACUUACAAGGAUUCCCCUAGUAGCGGCGAGCGAACCGGGAAGAGCCCAGCAUGAAAAUCGGGCGGCAGCGUCGCCUGAAUUGUAGUCUGUAGAAGCGUCCUCAGCGGCGGACCUGGGCCAAGUCCCUUGGAAGGGGGCGCCUGAGAGGGUGACAGCCCCGUCGGCCCGGGACCCUGCCGCAUCACGAGGCGUUGUCGGCGAGUCGGGUUGUUUGGGAAUGCAGCCCUAAUUGGGUGGUAAAUUCCGUCCAAGGCUAAAUACGGGCGAGAGACCGAUAGCGAACAAGUACCGCGAGGGA